UCGGGAAUUUUGGGCAAUGGGCGAAAGCCUGAUCCAGCCAUGCCGCGUGAGUGACGAAGGUCUUCGGAUUGUAAAGCUCUUUUGGCGGGGACGAUAAUGACGGUACCCGCAGAAUAAGCCCCGGCUAACUUCGUGCCAGCAGCCGCGGUAAUACGAAGGGGGCUAGCGUUGUUCGGAAUUACUGGGCGUAAAGCGCACGUAGGCGGAUUUGUAAGUCAGGGGUGAAAUCCCGGGGCUCAACCUCGGAACUGCCCUUGAUACUGCAAAUCUCGAGUCCGAUAGAGGUGAGUGGAAUUCCUAGUGUAGAGGUGAAAUUCGUAGAUAUUAGGAAGAACACCAGUGGCGAAGGCGGCUCACUGGAUCGGUACUGACGCUGAGGUGCGAAAGCGUGGGGAGCAAACAGGAUUAGAUACCCAAGUAGUCCCUGAGCGGGCUGGCAAGGCGCAU
rnacentral:rRNA from 1 species